GUGGGGAAUCUUGCGCAAUGGGCGAAAGCCUGACGCAGCCAUGCCGCGUGAAUGAUGAAGGUCUUAGGAUUGUAAAAUUCUUUCACCGGGGACGAUAAUGACGGCACCCGGAGAAGAAGCCCCGGCUAACUUCGUGCCAGCAGCCGCGGUAAUACGAAGGGGGCUAGCGUUGCUCGGAAUUACUGGGCGUAAAGGGCGCGUAGGCGGACAGUUUAGUCAGAGGUGAAAGCCCAGGGCUCAACCUUGGAAUUGCCUUUGAUACUGGCUGUCUUGAGUACGGGAGAGGUGAGUGGAACUCCGAGUGUAGAGGUGAAAUUCGUAGAUAUUCGGAAGAACACCAGUGGCGAAGGCGACUCACUGGCCCGUUACUGACGCUGAGGCACGAAAGCGUGGGGAGCAAACAGGAUUAGAAACCCCUGUAGUCC
rnacentral:rRNA from 1 species